CGGCGGACGGGUGAGUAACGCGUGGGUAACCUGCCUCAUACAGGGGAUAACAGUUAGAAAUGACUGCUAAUACCGCAUAAGACCACAGCACCGCAUGGUGCAGGGGUAAAAACUCCGGUGGUAUGAGAUGGACCCGCGUCUGAUUAGCUAGUUGGUAAGGUAACGGCUUACCAAGGCGACGAUCAGUAGCCGACCUGAGAGGGUGACCGGCCACAUUGGGACUGAGACACGGCCCAA
rnacentral:rRNA from 1 species